CCAUCAUUCAGUUGGGCACUCUAAGGUGACUGCCGGCUAAAAGUACGGAGGAAGGUGGGGAGUGACGUCAAAUCAUCAUGCCCUUAUGACCUGGGCUACACACGUGCUACAAUGGGCGGUACAAAGGGUCGCGAACCCGCGAGGGGGAGCCAAUCCCAAAAAAGCCGCUCUCAGUUCGGAUUGCAGGCUGCAACUCGCCUGCAUGAAGCCGGAAUCGCUAGUAAUCGCGGAUCAGCAUGCCGCGGUGAAUACGUUCCCGGGCCUU
rnacentral:rRNA from 1 species